rnacentral:rRNA from 1 species
UACGGGGGGGGCAAGCGUUGUUCGGAAUUACUGGGCGUAAAGGGCGCGUAGGCGGCCUUGUCAGUCAGACGUGAAAUCCCCAGGCUUAACCUGGGAACUGCGUCUGAUACUACAAGGCUGGAGUUCGGGAGAGGAAUGUGGAAUUCCAGGUGUAGCGGUGAAAUUCGUAGAUAUUCGCAAGAACACCAGUGGCGAAGGCGGCUCACUGGCCCGGAACUGACGCUGAGGUGCGAAAGCGUGGGGAGCAAACAGG